AACGAACGCUGGCGGCAGGCUUAAUACAUGCAAGUCGAGCGCCCCGCAAGGGGAGCGGCAGACGGGUGAGUAACGCGUGGGAAUCUACCCAUCUCUACGGAAUAACGCAUGGAAACGUGUGCUAAUACCGUAUACGUCCUUCGGGAGAAAGAUUUAUCGGAGAUGGAUGAGCCCGCGUUGGAUUAGCUAGUUGGUGGGGUAAAGGCCUACCAAGGCGACGAUCCAUAGCUGGUCUGAGAGGAUGAUCAGCCACACUGGGACUGAGACACGGCCCAGACUCCUACGGGAGGCAGCAGUGGGGAAUAUUGGACAAUAGGCGCAAGCCUGAUCCAGCCAUGCCGCGUGAGUGAUGAAGGCCCUAGGGUUGUAAAGCUCUUUCACCGGUGAAGAUAAUGACGGUAACCGGAGAAGAAGCCCCGGCUAACUUCGUGCCAGCCGCCGCUGUAAUAC
rnacentral:rRNA from 1 species